UACGUAGGGUGCAAGCGUUGUCCGGAAUUAUUGGGCGUAAAGAGCUCGUAGGCGGUUUGUUGCGUCGGCUGUGAAAUCCCGAGGCUCAACCUCGGGUCUGCAGUCGAUACGAGCAAACUAGAGUGUUGCAGGGGAGACUGGAAUUCCUGGUGUAGCGGUGAAAUGCGCAGAUAUCAGGAGGAACACCGGUGGCGAAGGCAGGUCUCUGGGCCAUAACUGACGCUGAGAAGCGAAAAGCAUGGGGAGCGAACAGG
rnacentral:rRNA from 1 species